UACGUAGGGAGCAAGCGUUGUCCGGAAUCAUUGGGCGUAAAGCGCGCGUAGGCGGCCCUGUAAGUCCGCUGUGAAAGUCAAAGGCUCAACCUUUGAAAGCCGGUGGAUACUGCAGGGCUAGAGUCCGGAAGAGGCGAGUGGAAUUCCUGGUGUAGCGGUGGAAUGCGCAGAUAUCAGGAGGAACACCAAUAGCGAAGGCAGCUCGCUGGGACGGUACUGACGCUAAGGCGCGAAAGCGUGGGGAGCGAACAGG
rnacentral:rRNA from 2 species